UGAGGAAUAUUGCGCAAUGGGCGAAAGCCUGACGCAGCGACGCCGCGUGGGGGAUGAAGGUUUUCGGAUUGUAAACCCCUUUCAUGAGGAAAAAUAAAGUGGGUAACCACUUAGACGGUACCUCAAGCAGAAACCACGGCUAACUUCGUGCCAGCAGCCGCGGUAAUACGAAGGUGGCAAGCGUUGUUCGGCUUUACUGGGCGUAAAGAGCACGUAGGCGGUUGGGAAAGCCUCUUGGGAAAUCUCCCGGCUUAACCGGGAAAGGUCGAGAGGAACUAUUCAGCUAGAGGACGGGAGAGGAGCGCGGAAUUCCCGGUGUAGCGGUGAAAUGCGUAGAUAUCGGGAAGAAGGCCGGUGGCGAAGGCGGCGCUCUGGAACGUACCUGACGCUGAGGUGCGAAAGCGUGGGGAGCAAA
rnacentral:rRNA from 1 species